ensembl:lncRNA
GACUCAUUGUCUUUGUUUUUCAUCUCAGUCCCAAACUAGUAACCAAGGUGAUGUUCAAUAGAUGGAUCAAUUCAAAUGAUUGUCUUCUUCUUCUUUGUUGUCUGAAAGAAACAGUCAGCGGAAUAGCUUGGCUAUCGUACAGUAACGCCAGACAGACCAGACCAGAUAUAAUGUAACGAUCUGUUUGUGCUGUCUUGACCGACUCUGUGGCAAUGACCAUAGGAACUGGUAAGAUAGCGCACAGUUACAGUGUAGCACGUUUAUUGAUCUGCACUAUUGAGUGUUAAUGAGUGUCUGCUCUCGAUACAGUACAUCCACAGACAACAGGACCAUGACUCUCUGCACCAAUGAAUGGACAAAGCCAUUGAUCGCGUGACACAAUUCAUUCCUAUGUGAAGACUCGAUAGCGCAUUGAAGCCAAAUUAAUUUGGGUAAGAUGGCGUCUCAUGGAGACAUGACAUGCAGCCGUUUGAGCUACUCCAGAAUGUGACGUUGCAGACUAGCUCAGUGCUGCCCCUUCUCAUUGAUUAACUCACAUUGUAGGCCGACCGGGGUACUGCAGACAGUCAUUAGCAUCAACUAAUCCUUAUCCUGCGAUAGAAAAAAAUAUCGGUUUGAGGACAUAUAUCUGGUGUUUCAGAAGCAAUUAUUGGCAGCAUGACUGUCUUCAAAAAUUGGUUUUUAAUUACACAAAGAUUGACCACGAUGAUCAAAAAAUGUCAAAUUCACUAUAAUGGAGAAUCCUGUUUUUGCAAACAAUGCCUGCGGUACCGCAGCCUGCCUCGAACUUCUGUGGCUUUAAUGAGAGUGGGAAGUCGUUCUCAUCCAAUGGCUGCCAUGUUUUUGGAUGACGUGAGUGAUGUCAUCACUUUACCAUGGUUACCAUUACAACAUGCCUUACAGUACUCGGUCUGAUAACUACUCAAGAGAAUGUCUUUACCAUAGCAGGACAGUAUGAAGGAAGAAACUAUUUCUCCAAUAGAAAUCCUCGAUAAUGUUUGUAGGCGAUGUCAUGGCAACGUUGGCUCGCUAAGCUCAUGUGCAGAACACAUCAUCAGGUUUAAGGGUUGUCCUGAACUGCCCAUGUGCAGAACACAUCAUCAGGUCUAAUGGUUGUCCUGAACUGCCCAUGUGCAGAACACGUCAUCAGGUCUAACGGUUGUCAUGUGCAGGCUGUCAAAUCAAAAGCAAUCCUUCCAUGUAAAGUAGUUUUUUGUGACCAAUUGUUUAUUUGUUUUGACAUUGUUUUGUUAGGGGGUUUACAGGUACAUUGUCCAUUUCAUAUACGUUUAUACAACCUGUACUCAAGAGAAGACAACUAUGUAAGAAAUACAUAGAGAGUUUAAAUAUAAAUAAUAAAAUCAGUAUAAACAGGAAGAUAAAACAAAAAAGAACAUUGUCCACCUUCCCCAACCCCC